CUGGCUCAGAUUGAACGCUGGCGGUAUGCUUAAGACAUGCAAGUCGUGCGGUAGAGGCUUCGGCCUUGAGAGCGGCGGACGGGUGAGUAACACGUGGGAAUCUGCCUAUUAGUGGGGGACAGCCCAGCGAAAGCUGGAUUAAUACCGCAUACGCCCUACGGGGGAAAGCAGCAAUGCGCUAAUAGAUGAGCCCGCGUAAGAUUAGCUAGUUGGUAAGGUAAAGGCUUACCAAGGCGACGAUCUUUAGCUGGUCUGAGAGGAUGACCAGCCACAUCGGGACUGAGACACGGCCCGGACUCCUACGGGAGGCAGCAGUCGGGAAUAUUGGACAAUGGGCGCAAGCCUGAUCCAGCAAUACCGCGUGUGUGAAGAAGGCCUGCGGGGUUGUAAAGCACUUUCAGUUGGGAAGAUAAUGACGUUACCAACAGAAGAAGCACCGGCUAACUCCGUGCCAGCAGCCGCGGUAAUACGGAGGGUGCAAGCGUUAAUCGGAAUUAC
rnacentral:rRNA from 1 species